UCGCAUACACAAAUAAUGUGCCAGAAAAAGAGGGUAAACAGAGUGUAGAAGACUGCCUUCAAGCCUUCUGCUCCAUUCCAUUCCACUCCUCUCCGCCCGACCCUCUCUAUGCAGGCAGACAAAUAAAUUUUCAGUCAGAAGGCAACAACUUAAAUGCAUAUACACAUCGGAGAAUUUAAUAAACACAAAACACAGACAGAGAAAGAGACGAGACGAGACGAGGCGCAGCAGCAGCAGCAAUCGGAGGGCAAAAGACAGAAGGCAUAUGCAUGAAGGCUAAGGGGAUUUAAUACAUAAAUCCAUGGGAGAGACGAUCGCCAGAACCUCAAAAACGCAGCAACAACAACUACAAUAAAGAGGAACAGGUCGCGCAUCAGUCCAGCAGAAUAUCAAGCCAUCGCUUGAGGGCUUUCUGGCAAUGCCUCACCUUAUACAAAUACACCUUGGUUAGGACUACGCUGGCUGCCCUCGUGGUCAAAACAAAGCAGGUAAAAAGCAGCGAAACAUUGUAAAAGGCAGAUAAAACUCCAAGCAAAGAGUUGUUGUAUUGAUGCUGACCGCAAACACAACACAGGGCUGGCGAGUGGGGGCGCGACAAGGAAACCAACACAACUGUAAAAAAAAUGCACCAAGAAGAACCUGCUUGAGAAUCAUGGCUGGAGGCCGAAGCAGAGCAGCAGCAGCGCAGCAUGAGAAGGAGGUGGAGAAACAGAGGGCAACAAGAACACGAAAACAACGCGACAAAGUAAUGGAAAAAAUUGUUAGAGGCAAAGUCUAAAAUUAAAACAAGCGCUAGAGUGAGA